GUAGGUGGCAAGCGUUAUCCGGAAUUACUGGGUGUAAAGGGAGCGCAGGCGGGAUAGCAAGUCAGCUGUGAAAACUAUGGGCUCAACCCAUAAACUGCAGUUGAAACUGUUAUUCUUGAGUGGAGUAGAGGCAAGCGGAAUUCCGAGUGUAGCGGUGAAAUGCGUAGAUAUUCGGAGGAACACCAGUGGCGAAGGCGGCUUGCUGGGCUCUAACUGACGCUGAGGCUCGAAAGUGUGGGGAGCAAACAGGAUUAGAUACCCUGGUAGUCCACACUGUAAACGAUGAUUGCUAGGUGUGGGGGGUCUGACCCCCUCCGUGCCGGAGUUAACGCAAUAAGCAAUCCACCUGGGGAGUACGGCCGCAAGGUUG
rnacentral:rRNA from 1 species